UACGUAGGGGGCAAGCGUUGUCCGGAAUCAUUGGGCGUAAAGAGCGCGUAGGCGGCCCGGUAAGUCCGCUCUGAAAGUCCAGGGCUCAACCCUGGAAAGCGGGUGGAUACUGCCGGGCUAGAGUCCGGAAGAGGCGAGUGGAAUUCCUGGUGUAGCGGUGGAAUGCGCAGAUAUCAGGAGGAACACCCGUGGCUAAGGCGGUUCUCUAGUACGGUACUGACGCUGAGACGCGAAAGCGUGGGGAGCGAACAGG
rnacentral:rRNA from 1 species